CGGGCGUUAAGUUGCAGGGUAUAGACCCGAAACCCGGUGAUCUAGCCAUGGGCAGGUUGAAGGUUGGGUAACACUAACUGGAGGACCGAACCGACUAAUGUUGAAAAAUUAGCGGAUGACCUGUGGCUGGGGGUGAAAGGCCAAUCAAACCGGGAGAUAGCUGGUUCUCCCCGAAAGCUAUUUAGGUAGCGCCUCGUGAAUUCAUCUCCGGGGGUAGAGCACUGUUUCGGCUAGGGGGCCAUCCCGGCUUACCAACCCGAUGCAAACUGCGAAUACCGGAGAAUGUUAUCACGGGAGACACACGGCGGGUGCUAACGUCCGUCGUGAAGAGGGAAACAACCCAGACCGCCAGCUAAGGUCCCAAAGUCAUGGUUAAGUGGGAAACGAUGUGGGAAGGCCCAGACAGCCAGGAUGUUGGCUUAGAAGCAGCCAUCAUUUAAAGAAAGCGUAAUAGCUCACUGGUCGAGUCGGCCUGCGCGGAAGAUGUAACGGGGCUAAACCAUGCACCGAAGCUGCGGCAGCGAACGUAUCACCCAAGACAACUUUACGGAGUUGACGAUUGACGGAGCGAAGCGACGUCAAAGCGUUCAUUAAAGUCGAGUUGGCUUAGGGAUACGUUCGUUGGGUAGGGGAGCGUUCUGUAAGCCUGUGAAGGUGUGUCGUGAGGCAUGCUGGAGGUAUCAGAAGUGCGAAUGCUGACAUAAGUAACGAUAAAGCGGGUGAAAAGCCCGCUCGCCGGAAGACCAAGGGUUCCUGUCCAACGUUAAUCGGGGCAGGGUGAGUCGACCCCUAAGGCGAGGCCGAAAGGCGUAGUCGAUGGGAAACGGGUUAAUAUUCCCGUACUUGGUGUUACUGCGAAGGGGGGACGGAGAAGGCUAUGUUGGCCGGGCGACGGUUGUCCCGGUUUAAGCGUGUAGGUGUGUGUUCCAGGUAAAUCCGGUUCACUUUAACACUGAGGCGUGACGACGAGGCACUACGGUGCUGAAGCAACAAAUGCCCUGCUUCCAGGAAAAGCCUCUAAGCAUCAGGUAACAUCAAAUCGUACCCCAAACCGACACAGGUGGUCAGGUAGAGAAUACCAAGGCGCUUGAGAGAACUCGGGUGAAGGAACUAGGCAAAAUGGUGCCGUAACUUCGGGAGAAGGCACGCUGACACGUAGGUGAAGUGAUUUACUCAUGGAGCUGAAGUCAGUCGAAGAUACCAGCUGGCUGCAACUGUUUAUUAAAAACACAGCACUGUGCAAACACGAAAGUGGACGUAUACGGUGUGACGCCUGCCCGGUGCCGGAAGGUUAAUUGAUGGGGUCAGCGCAAGCGAAGCUCCUGAUCGAAGCCCCGGUAAACGGCGGCCGUAACUAUAACGGUCCUAAGGUAGCGAAAUUCCUUGUCGGGUAAGUUCCGACCUGCACGAAUGGCGUAAUGAUGGCCAGGCUGUCUCCACCCGAGACUCAGUGAAAUUGAACUCGCUGUGAAGAUGCAGUGUACCCGCGGCAAGACGGAAAGACCCCGUGAACCUUUACUAUAGCUUGACACUGAACAUUGAGCCUUGAUGUGUAGGAUAGGUGGGAGGCUUUGAAGUGUGGACGCCAGUCUGCAUGGAGCCGACCUUGAAAUACCACCCUUUAAUGUUUGAUGUUCUAACGUGGACCCGUAAUCCGGGUUGCGGACAGUGUCUGGUGGGUAGUUUGACUGGGGCGGUCUCCUCCUAAAGAGUAACGGAGGAGCACGAAGGUUGGCUAAUCCUGGUCGGACAUCAGGAGGUUAGUGCAAUGGCAUAAGCCAGCUUGACUGCGAGCGUGACGGCGCGAGCAGGUGCGAAAGCAGGUCAUAGUGAUCCGGUGGUUCUGAAUGGAAGGGCCAUCGCUCAACGGAUAAAAGGUACUCCGGGGAUAACAGGCUGAUACCGCCCAAGAGUUCAUAUCGACGGCGGUGUUUGGCACCUCGAUGUCGGCUCAUCACAUCCUGGGGCUGAAGUAGGUCCCAAGGGUAUGGCUGUUCGCCAUUUAAAGUGGUACGCGAGCUGGGUUUAGAACGUCGUGAGACAGUUCGGUCCCUAUCUGCCGUGGGCGCUGGAGAACUGAGGGGGGCUGCUCCUAGUACGAGAGGACCGGAGUGGACGCAUCACUGGUGUUCGGGUUGUCAUGCCAAUGGCACUGCCCGGUAGCUAAAUGCGGAAGAGAUAAGUGCUGAAAGCAUCUAAGCACGAAACUUGCCCCGA
rnacentral:rRNA from 2 species